CUUUGGUGACAUCAAGUGAGAAGUUUGGUUUUGAAAUGUUGUCACUAGAG
rnacentral:pre_miRNA from 1 species